CGGACGGGUGAGUAACGCGUGGAAAACCUGCCGUAUACUGGGGGAUAACACUUAGAAAUAGGUGCUAAUACCGCAUAAGCGCACAGCUUCGCAUGAAGCGGUGUGAAAAACUCUGGUGGUAUACGAUGGUUCCGCGUCUGAUUAGCUAGUUGGUGGGGUAAUGGCCUACCAAGGCAACGAUCAGUAGCCGGCCUGAGAGGGUGAACGGCCACAUUGGGACUGAGACACGGCCAAACUCCUACGGGAGGCAGCAG
rnacentral:rRNA from 1 species